UAGGGAAUCUUCCACAAUGGACGCAAGUCUGAUGGAGCAACGCCGCGUGAGUGAAGAAGGUUUUCGGACCGUAAAGCUCUGUUGUUGGUGAAGAAGGAUAGAGGUAGUAACUGGCCUUUAUUUGACGGUAAUCAACCAGAAAGUCACGGCUAACUACGUGCCAGCAACCGCGGUAAUACGUAGGUGGCAAGCGUUGUCCGGAUUUAUUGGGCGUAAAGCGAGCGCAGGCGGAAGAAUAAGUCUGAUGUGAAAGCCCUCGGCUUAACCGAGGAAUUGCAUCGGAAACUGUUUUUCUUGAGUGCAGAAGAGGAGAGUAGAACUCCAUGUGUAGCGGUGGAAUGCGUAGAUAUAUGGAAGAAUACCAGUGGCGAAGGCGGCUCUCUGGUCUGCAACUGACGCUGAGGCUCGAAAGCAUGGGUAGCGAACAGGAUUAGAUACCCUGGUAGUCCAUGCCGUAAACGAUGAGUGCUAAGUGUUGGGAGGCUUCCGCCUCUCAGUGCUGCAGCUAACGCAUUAAGCACUCCGCCUGGGGGAGUACGACCGCAAGGU
rnacentral:rRNA from 1 species